AACGAACGCUGGCGGCAUGCCUAACACAUGCAAGUCGAACGAGACCUUCGGGCCUAGUGGCGCACGGGUGCGUAACGCGGGGGAACCUGCCCUUAGGUUCGGAAUAACUCCCCGAAAGGGGUGCUAAUACCGGAUAAUGUCUUCGGACCAAAGAUUUAUCGCCUUUGGAUGGGCCCGCGUUGGAUUAGCUAGUUGGUAGGGUAAAAGCCUACCAAGGCGACGAUCCAUAGCUGGUCUGAGAGGAUGAUCAGCCACACUGGGACUGAGACACGGCCCAGACUCCUACGGGAGGCAGCAGUGGGGAAUAUUGGACAAUGGGCGAAAGCCUGAUCCAGCAAUGCCGCGUGAGUGAUGAAGGCCUUAGGGUUGUAAAGCUCUUUUACACGGGAUGAUAAUGACAGUACCGGGAGAAUAAGCACCGGCUAACUCCGUG
rnacentral:rRNA from 1 species